GAGACAGCAGUCGCCACGGUAAUACAGAGGGUGCGAGCGUUAAUCGGAUUUACUGGGCGUAAAGCGUGCGUAGGCGGCUUCUUAAGUCGGAUGUGAAAUCCCUGAGCUUAACUUAGGAAUUGCAUUCGAUACUGGGAAGCUAGAGUAUGGGAGAGGAUGGUAGAAUUCCAGGUGUAGCGGUGAAAUGCGUAGAGAUCUGGAGGAAUACCGAUGGCGAAGGCAGCCAUCUGGCCUAAUACUGACGCUGAGGUACGAAAGCAUGGGGAGCAAACAGGAUUAGAUACCCGUGUAGUCCCUGUCUCUUAUAC
rnacentral:rRNA from 1 species